AGAUGAAUGGGGGGCAAAGAAUGCAUGCGUGGACAUGCUCCACAGCAUCGGAUACAUCCGAGUUCCUCAUCUCCUCCUUCGCUUCUGGACAGGCCGAACUGCAAAUCACUCGGGAUAAAUAGUCUUUAUAGAGAGGCCAGGGUGACCUUGAAAGGUGAGAGAUACUGAUCCCUGGACCCCUGGCUAGAGAUGUAGGUGGUGCGAGAGAACUGCUAUAGCUUUCCGCAGUUAUACUUGCGUGCGUGAACGCACAUGUGUGUAAAUAGCCAUACUCCUCUUGAGCAAUCAGAAAUAGCACCCAGAUUAUCUGAGUCCUAUGUGAGCGCUCUAAAUCAAGCAGGAAGGGAUGUAUUGCUAGCGUACAAUAUGCUUUCAAUAGCUGAAUUUUAGAUCUUGUGCUGCGUUGGGUGAUACCGAAACAUCAGGAAUGCAGGGUGAGGACACCCCAUCCAUGUCUGCUCCCCCAAGUCUACUGGGCUCCAGAGAGAAAUUAAUUCAGACUUGUCCCCAGUGGCUGCUUUUGAAACCUCAGGCUGUGCCCAGUCUGCAAGUGGCUGCAAAUGAGUCUGGACUGGCCUCUCAGGUGAACUUCUGGUUCUGUAGUGAGUCAGUAGACUGGCGUGGCUGGGCUGUGGUCCACCCUGUCUUUCAUAACACCCAGUCCUGACUUAUUAUAGACAAGCCAUAUGAGAACUGAGGCAGGAUGCCAUUAUAGUCAGUGCGUCGUAUAGGCAUCAUAAGACACGUGAUGGAUUUGCUGUCUAAACAGACCAGCCUGACAGAGGUUAGGAGGAGAAAUGGACGUUCAGACUGUGGAAGUGACUUGUCCAAAGUUACGUGGGUCAGGGGCAGAGCUGGGAACAGAACCCACGAGCCAUAUCCGUGGGACCAGUGACUGAACCAGUGGGAUGUGUCCUCCGAGCACCUCCACAAGAGAGGCCGAAGAAGGCCCGCUGACUUUCCUGUGUUCCUAUGGUGCCUGGCAGUGUUGUUUGGAAAUGCUGUGCUGCUCUCUUUGUUGCCUCUCGAACAGGAUACUGCCUUAGCUGUGGGCAGGCGAAUGAGCUUAGUGCACACAGGGCUAGCUCAAGGUCUGCUGCAUGGUGCUGACUUGUACCACCCUAUGGUAGCUUUAAAACAAACAAGCUCUUUAUAGAUAUAUAUGUAAAGGUUAUCUAGAUCUAUAUAUCUCUCUAUAGAUAUCUCUCUCUCUCUCUCUAUAUAUAUAAAGGUUAUAUAUAAAGGUGUAUAUAUAUCUAUAUAUAGAUAUAUAUAUCUAUAAAGGUUAUCUAGAUCUAUAUAUCUCUCUAUAGAUAGCUAGAUCUCUCUCUCUCUCUCUCUCUUUUUAUAUAUAUAAAGGUAUAUAUAGAGACAGAAAUCUAUAGAUCUCUCUAUAUAAAGGUUAUCUAGAUCUAGAUCUAUAUAGAUCUAGAUAUCUAGAGAGAGCUAUAUAGCUCUCUCUCUACAUAGAAAUAUCUAUCUAUCUAUCUAGAUAUAGAUAUAAAAAAGAGAUAUAUAUCCCAUCCUCUGCACUAGGAAGAACAACAAUAUAUAUCUCUAUAUAGAGAGAUAUAUAGAUCUAGAUAUCUAUAUAUCUCUCUAUAUAGAUCUCUCUCUCUCUCUCUCUCUCUCUCUCUGUGUGUGUGUGUGUGUGUGUGUGUGUGUGUGUGUGUGUGUAUAUAUGUAUAUAUAUAUAUAUACAGAGAGAGAGAGAGAUCUAAAUGUCGAUAUAUGGACCUAGAUAUAUAUACAUACACAUUCUAGUCACUGAUUAUUGCCUCCUUAACCUACCAUAGGAACCUGUGCACCUGUUACAAUAGAUGCACCCAUGGCAUGGCGCUCCUGUGCACCUGUCCGCAAAGCAUCAUCUCCCUCAAACACCUUGUCUCUUAGUCCUGUCCCUGAAUACUACCCUAAGGCAGCUACCCCACCCUGCUCCUGGUACUGGCUGGCAUGCUCCCAGUUUGGCAGGGUGUGAAGGGUCUCCCUCUCUGGCAUCUCACUCAGUUUCCAGAAGCACAGAGCAGGUGCACUUGUAGGUCGAGGUGCCCCAGCAGAUCUGAAGCAGAAUCAGAACAGAGUCCUUGGUUUGGACGUUCAGUCUCCUACCUCUUCACCCCCACCCCUUCUAGGGCAAGAGCCUUCCUUAUUUUUAUUCUCCGCUUCCUCCUCAUUUGAAAUCUGCUGAGGGCAGCUCGGAGCAAGCAGCCGUGGCCCUGUGGUGUCAGACCUCUGCUCCAGAUGUCAGCAGCUGUACAGAAUAGGCGGGGGCGGGAGGGAUUCGUAACCAUGAACUUGACAGCCUUGUUCUGCAAGCUCCUCCUUGUUGUUCUUCCUAGCGCAGAGGACGGGGGCAAGGCCCCCUCUGCAGAAAGCUCCCGUGGAAGCAGAGUCCAGAGUGAAAUGGAAACUCCUGUUGUCAGUGAAUCAUGCUCCACAUGCAGCAUGAGUAGGGUUGGAAAAACAUUCAGUCCUCGCUACUUCCCAGCCCGCUGUGGUGGCAGGGGGAGAGCCUGUGUUCGGGUAUUUUCUGGUUUUGCUCAUGACGCACUGGAUCAUCCAGCAGAAGCUGACAGGCACUGCUCAGGUUUUCUUCACCCAGCCGUGAAAGUGCCUCCCUGUCCUCUCUGCCCAGCCGCCUCUCUCUUCUCUGUCAGUCAGGAGCCAAUUGUUGGGUGUUGCCAUAGCUGAAGAAUUAUAGGAAUUAGAUGGAAAAUGUUUGCUCAUCCAGCCCACUGCUCCUUAUAACACGAACAUCCCUGCUAUGCUGAGUCUAGUUUUAAAGGCAUAUCAACACUGCAUGAGACCACACUGAGGAGCCCUACCAUGAAAAAACUCCCUGCUGAAUCGUUUCUGCUCUGUGUACACUGAACACUGAAAAAACCCAGUAUAGCUGCUCUAAUAAGCACUCCCAAGAUGCACCACCAAUUGACCGUAAGACAUCUUUCAGGCUUUUGGCAAGUAUGAUACAGAAGUGAGUGGGUGGGAUGUUUUUUUUCCCCCAGCUGUGCUCCCUAGGACGGUCCAAUUCUGUGUAGACGGGCCCGAGGUGUCCCAGGUACUCAAGCUGUCAUCCCUCCAUGGUGCAGGAGAACAGAAGGCUUUUUGGAGACUACUCAUUAUUACUGUUUCUACGGGAUCAUGUGGAGCUGCAAGGGGCACAUCUACACGUGCAGUGAAUGUGCAUGAAUAAACUGCGGAGCAAAUUGCUCUGCAGUAAACUACUCCUAGGUGCAGUGUAUACGUGUGGCAAGGUCAGGAGCAAAUGUUGCUGGGGAGGAGCAGUGUAGACCAGAACUGCUCCUGCCUUGCUCUGUCCUCCUGCAGCAGCCAGGAGAGCUCCAGGCUCUAGCCGCAGCUGCCUGGGUGCCAGGGGGACAGGGGUCGGCCCCGGACUCUGGCUGGUGGCAGAAGUGUGGCCCAGGGGGCAGGGGUCGUAGGGGCUGAGGCCUGGGCUGCAUCCUGCAGCUGGAAAGUUGUCUGGGCCACAAGGCUCCUGCAGCUGCUGAGCUGUGUGGCUAGACAGCAGGCAGGAGUGUGGUCCCCUCUGGUUGGGUGACUGGGCACAGUUUACUCCCGGGUCAGCAUCUACACAUGCAUUGCUGCACAGCAAAAAACUCUGCAGUAGGAUAAUACUUAUAUUUACAAGUACUAUCCUGCUGCAGAGUUAAUUAAUCUACUUCAUCUACUUCAAGAAUUUUGCACAAAAAGGGGGGUGGGUUGGUUUUGUUCUGAUUCAGAAUAGGAAAAGUGCUGAAAUCCCAAGAUUUUGCAGCCUGGAAAAAUCAUCCCCUUUCCCCUCUGGUUCUGAUAGUAGGUCCUAGCUCCAUUUUCCAGACUAUAACCAUGGAGGCCCAACAGCUUCCCCAAGGUCACAUAAGGCAUCUGUGGCAGGGGUCUGGACCCAGAUUUCCCCGCCUUCACAAAGCCAGCCUUCUUCACUCUUCAUAAUGAGAAGCUAUGUCUCUUUGAAGUUCUUCCUGAAGUUCUUUGAAGUUCAACCUGCCUGUUUGGCACUAGGCUUAGACCUACAAAUAAAUCACUGUAUUGGGUAGUGCUGUACAUGUAUGAACAUCAUCUCCGGUGGCAAAAGGUUAAUAGCACAAAUUACUGGGGGCAGGGGGGCUGGCUGUUUCCAGUUUCCUUUUGUGCACUUCCACCUACUCAUUCUUUGCACUUUAUAGUAAAUGCGGCCACUUUAUUAGUCUCCAAAUGCAAUGUCUGUCUUGAUUAGCACCUCCAGGAAAAAAUGUACAUCCCCUGGGAAAUGCCAGAGUGUUUCAGACACACAAAGGUGGGAGUCUCAAAGCAGCUUCACUCUCUAGACUAUAAAUCUGCUGCCAUCAAACCACAGAAUACAGCCAAUUCUUAGCUUCGCUCUUGUUUAGUCUGGGAAGAUAACAAACCACCCCCUGUCCAGCUCCAAGGGCUGAUGUCUGGAUGUGAGGAAAUCCUGCAAGUUUCUAAUCUUAGGCUGCUUGGGAGUCUUUAAAUAGAGAGUCUUAAAUUGGCUUGACUGCUCCGAUCCUCCAUGUCAGGGCUAGCCCAUAAUCAUCAGCAACUAGCUGCAUCUUCCCUUGGGAGUCCACCUGUCAUUCAAACUCUACCUCGUUUAUCAUUGCCAUUUCUCUGGCUCAUUCUUGCCUUCCUUUGUGUCCUUCUAACUCUUCUCUUUCAUCCCUAGCAUAUUUCUUGACACCUCCCUUUUCUUUUCCUAAACCUUUCAUGCUGGUAUCCACAAUCAUCGCUGGAAGAGGACAAAAUUUACUGUCCCGUUCUACAGCAUAGCUUUUCCUUUAGGAGACCCUUAUGGUCUUAUAGGUAAAAAUCAGCUUUCAGAGCUGAAUGGCUAACUGGGGGGCUUUAAGCACUGAAGCACUUCUUCCUUUCCCACUCGUGACAGCCCCCUCUCCGGCUUACCUUGGUGCUACAGCCCAGGUGGCUGGGCCGUGAGUGAAGCAGCCGACACUAAGGAGCUGGAGGGACCGCUUCUAAUUGGCACAGGAGCUGGAGACUGCAUGUUUAAAGUGGACCUGGAAAUGGAGCUGGAAGCACUCCCUGCCCCUGGAAGAAGCCUGUCACUUCCCCUGAUGGCCAGUGGGUCCAGGGGAGUGCCAUGUGUAUGCUUCAGUGAAAAGGCAAUUAAGGAAAAGGCAAUCAAGGAAGACCUGGGUGCACCCCUCUACAGCCAGCUAGGAGCCCUACACGUCCCAGGACUGGAAAGCCCAGAUGGAGCCAGAAGCGUCCAUCAGCCCGUGGAGAGCCAAAGACCAGAGCCAAUGCCAAGCCACUUGACCCCACCAACACACAGCUUAGCAUGCCAGUGAGCUCACCCGCCGCCACCGCAGACAAAGGCUGAAGGACUGUCCGGGAAUGCACAGCUUUCUGAGAGCAACAGCACCGCGGCAAGACCGCUAUGGCUCCUUUCCUUGUCACACCGCCACGUGAAGGAUGAAACCCACAACUACAUGGAGGCACUGCCUGGAUCCACUGUAACACCUGAGUGGAAAGGGGUGGGAUAUAGGGGAGGAGGAGCCCCACAGAAGACGUACCAAGGCGGGCAUUCCCGAGCCUGUAAAGGAAUCAUGGAGCACCACCUCCAGACAUGCCAAGUUGUGGCAUGUGAGUAGGUUCGGGUAUGGCAGAGCCCAGGUGGCAGGGCACCUUUAUGAGGAGCAUGGGCUUGUCGCACCACUAUUUUGUUGCUCUGCUGAAAGAAUUGCGGUAGGGAUGCAGCUUUCCUUUGAAAAAACCAUGCUGGUUUGUCUCUGCCCUAGAUUUUCCAUCCCAUCAGCUCGAUAUUUUUCAGUGAUUGUUUUAAGCAAUUUCCCUGACUUCUUGAUGCAUAAUUCUGAGAUGGAUCAUCCUGCUGACCUGCUGGGUGCAUCCUUUGCUACCCUCUGGUUUCCUCGAAGCGCGACCUCAUGGCAGAGUGGGGAAGGAAAGGAUCUUGCGGCAGCUUUCAAGACAGGAAUGCAUGCCCUGUUUCCCAAACUUGUAGUGAGGGUGGUUGCUAGUAUGUGAUCCACUUGUGAAUGGGCACCUGGUCAUGUGGGCUGGGGAGUCAGAAGCAGCCAGACAUGAUGCUGGCCACAUCACAGCUUUGUGUGCCCCUGGCUAUAGGAGCUGUCGUGUUUUAAGCAUGCUAAUCUGAUGGGUGGCUGGGUUUAAAGCUGAUCUUCUUGUUUAGGAGCCAGUUUUAACAAGACAGUGUUGUUCUGUUGGCAGUUUAGUCUCUUCAUUUUGCUUCCUUUCAGCAUCUACUUCCUUUCAGCAUCUACUUUCCGCAUCUACUUUUUGAUAGCUUAAUCUCUAUCCUCUGCAAAGGUGGAGUCCUCCCUGAGCACAGGGUCACUGCCAGAUCUAGGACCCACAUAAGUUCCACCGUGGGACUUCACUGCAGCCCACGUUUGCUAUAGAUCUUCUGACCAGCAUCUAACUUCCCCCCAAAACAGUGAGUCAAGGGUGGGUCUCGCCUGUUGUGAUCACUGCAUUCAAUAAACACAGGCAUAUGUGAAUGAGAACAAAAUAAUGGCCUUAUUUGUGGAGCAGUAGGCAACCUCUGCAGAACUUAUGUCUCUUUAAACGACUAGCCUAACUGAAGAGCCAUCUCCCAAAUCCCAGCUUUUGUAGUCUUCUAAGUAAGGGAAUGUCUCUAAAUGAUAACAUCUAUCAUUAUAUCACCCACAAUCCUCUGUAGUGUAGAUGGAGACAAAUUCUUUAGCUACUGUGUUAUGCUUCUGUUUUCCUUCAUUUCGCCUCUGCCCAGUAGACCCACUAACUCUCUUGCAGGCUUUCUCUGUCUGAUCUACUUAACAAUUUUUUUGUUGCUUGUUUUUAAAACUGGCUUGUGACCUGCUGGACUGAAUCCACAAAUGAAGAUAUUCCAAAUAGAGCCCGGAAACCGGGGUUUAUGCUAUCUCAGUUCUGACUUACCUGCACCCUCCCUCCCCCUCUCUACGUGCUUUAUUUAUUAUCAGUACAAGGGAAGUCUGAAAUCUGAUCUACUGGUUUUGUUGCCAUCUCUGCUGCCAUGACUCCAAUGUGAAGGAAGGACAGAGGGAAUUGCUAAGGUGAAAUGAGAGACACUGGGGCAGGGGAGGGGAGGGACAGCUGGAUUGGUGAUUCUUAGCCUGAACAGCAAACACCACCAAGAAAUUGCUGAGGGAUUCGACUUAAGUGCCAGCAUGAGGCUGAGCCAGAGGACUAGCUGUGUAAACACUGCCGGAUCAUAUAAUAGAUUUUCCUGGAUCUAUCUGUCUGUAAUUAAGAGCUAUCUCCCUGCCUUUUUCUUCCUCCUGAAAUCUCCUCUUUGCCUUGUGCUGAAUAGACUGUGCCACUGCUUUCUUUUACCCAUGGAGCAACUUUCUUUGUAAGAGAGCUUUGCAGACUCAGCGAACAUGGUGAAGGACAUUGGAAGUACUCUUUCUUUUUAUGAAUGAAUGAAUGAAUAAAUGAACUGUCCCUCUGCCUGAAGAAGGGGGUUUGCCCCGAAAAGCUUGCAAAGAAGAAUUUUUCCAACUCUUUAGCUGGUCUAAUAAAAAAUAUCACAUUUACCCAACAAACCUUGUCUUUUGAUGAAUAUGGCAUUUGCCAUAUGAUUGCCUGACCACAUGGAUCGGAUGCAAAAGAGCUGGUAGGAAAAACAAGCAGGACUAGAGAUAGGGCACAUCCAGGUAAAAUCUUCAGAGCUGUUAAGGAGACAAUGACUGCAGGAGGUAUUGAGAAAAACCCAUUGAUGUUGGCUUCCAGCUAGGUUACAGCAAUUAUCUGCUCAGAGACAAAAGCCUUAGGUCCAAAGGCAAUCAGGACUCAUAGCAGAGAUGAUAUCUUUUAUUAGACCAGCAAUGUUUUAGCAAAAAAAAUUCUUUAAUUGCAAGCUUUCGGGUGCAAACACCCUUCAUCGGGCAUUGGAGAAAAGACUGUAGAAGUUCUCCUGGGUAGAAAUAAAAGUUCAUAUUUCAUAGGAUUUCACAGAGGAGUCAAUCGAUGGAAAACUCCUCUGGGCAGGCAGCUCAUAGCUGGUAUGAAGCCUCUCACUUCCUCCUAAGGUCCAAAGGACACUAAAUCACUAAGAAGCCCCCAGAGAAGGGAAAGCUGUCAUCAGUGGAUCAAGCCAAAACAAUGGGAAGCUUGGGGAAGAGAGUAUGAAGAAGCUGGGUCUACCUAGCUACAGGGGCGGAGGUGGGGAGAUGGCACAGAUGAAAAGCUCUGGGUAGAAAGGCCUGCAUAUGGAUUGUUUUAAAAUACUUAUUGUCCGAUACGGGGCAGGGUUUUUACCUGCUUGGAGCAAAUGAUACCUAUUGGAAAGGCAUCAUGGGAAUGUCUGCAGCUUAUGCGGACACAGGCCUGAGAUAGCUUUAAGCUCCAUAGCUCAGGUAUUGCUGGCAGGGUAGCUACAGCAACACAUGGGCUGCCAAAUUCACCCAAAAAACUGGGUAAAUACUCGGACAGGUUGUGCAGCCUGUUCCACCGUCCACACAACCGCGGCUAUACUGUCAAGCCAGAGCUCCGCUUGUCUAGUUGGAAGCUAGUUCAGGAAAGUGCAUCUCUCGAGGUCUGUUUUGCUCAGGGACUAAAGCCGAAGGCCAAAAGGGCUCUGCAUAACUAAGAAGUUAGCAAAGGAGGGGGGAGAAUUGAGUGUUCCCACAUAUAGAGAAGUGACAGCUUGAGCUUUGUCCCCGGUAGGGGUUGACUGAGACCGAAGCAGAAAGGGGAUCCUGGAGUCACUCACCUGGUAACAUUAGGCAUUCCCUGAAAUGCAGCCACUUCUGGGGUGAGAUGCAGCAAUGGCUGAGGCGAUCAUACCAAUACUUUGUUAAUGUAUUUUGUCACUACAUCUAUUUUAGACAAUGCAGGAGGUAUUUAUGCUGAAUGCUAUUUGCCUGGGUUGCUCAAACUAACCAUCUAGCCACGUGAACUUUGCCAGGGGAUCUGUCAGAUGCAAUUUCUGGGAUGGUUCUUAAAGGUUUUGUUCAUAGAUUUUUUUCCGCUCCCCCAGGCCAGAAAGCAGUGUUGUGUUCCUCUAGUCUGACCUCCUGCAUGAUGCAGGCCAAGGAAUCUCACUCAGUGCUUGUUGCAUGGCAUCCAGCAACCUGCAGUCGUGUGAAAAAUACCUUUGUAACAACAGCAAUCCUCUCUCUGUUGAAGGCUGAGCAAUGGAGAGCCCAGCUGGUCCCUCACCGAGCUGUUCCAAUGAGUAUGCGUGAUGUGUUAAUAAUAUGUACCAUGAGCAUACUGUUAACAUCUACUGCUUACAAUGGAAAAUCCACAACCUAAAGAAAGAAGAAGGCACCGACUACACAGAGACACUUUCUACUAUGCUGGGCCUGGCCUCCUGUGAUCAGAGACCUGAUGCAGAAAGACAAGCUUUCAAAUGCAAGACAAACUUUAUCCCACCUACCUAGUUGGUCCAAGAAGAGGUACCACGCUGAGAAAUCCUUGCCUCUCAUGUAAUUUCCUUGAAAGCCUUUCAGUGGGCGUUCACAAACUCGUAAGUCCAGCUGCCUCCUGAAACUGUGCCGCUUGCUUUGGAAAUAAUUCAUUUUUAUCAUUGUGCCCGCUUUCCUUGCAUGCGUGCUGCAGUGUUGCAUAUGGGUGUUGAUCACCCAAACAUAAGCUCGUAUAUUAUGUGUCUGGCUGGCACUUCACAUCAGAAUAAGCUAUUGUGGGCAAGGUUGCGCCUGGCUUCCGCAGGAAACUGGAGAGGGCUGAAGAGGAAGUUCCCAGUGCCAACACAGGUCCUAGGGACAUUGGCAGGCUUUGUGUUGCGGGAACACAAGGGCUACUCAGUGCUGGGUGCUGCUCUCGGUGUUAGACUCCCCAACAAGCGAAGGCAAAAGGUCAGCAAUCCCAGACCACUCUCUGCUGGCCAGCCCCAGUGGAGCUAAUAACAGACGCUGCUUUGUCUAAAACAUAUAAUGCCUCCCAGCUUGGUUGGACUGACUCCACCCUGUCCUCCAGUGCUGGGCUUUCUCUCAUAUGCACGAGAGAAGUUAAACUAAACUUUCCCCAAAUUCAUGGCCAACCUAAGCAUAACUUCAUUGGAGUCACUAGUUCUGCAAUGCAUUUCUCCGGGAAUUGAUUCGGCCCUAUGCCGAGACCGAGCUGGAUUCCACCACGACCGGAGCACUUGCGAUCAAGUUCUAGCCUUCACCGCCUUCUUUGAAAAUAGUAUCCAGGUUGUAGCUGUAUUGGCCUAGAGUAAAAAGCAUUCAGGACUUGUGGUAGUGGACAUCUUUUAUUAGACCAACUAGCUUUUUGCAAAAAAAAAAAAAUAAAAAUCUUUAAUUGCAAGUUUUCAGGCGCAAACACACUUCGUCAGGCAUCAAAGAAAAGAUUAUAAAAGUUCUCCUGGAUAGAAAUGAAAGUUCAUAUUUCAUAGGAAAGUUGAGGUGGUAAAAUAUGAAGGGUGUUUGCACCUGAAAGCUUGCAAUUAAAGCAUUUUUUUUUGCAAAAAUCUAGUUGGUUUAAUAAAAGAUAUCACCUCUCCCAUGCGUCCUGAAUUCUUUGAAAAUAGCUUUCAGAAAAACCUGAAGACUGGUGUUGUCUUCCUUGAUUUAACAGCAGCAUAUGACACUAUCUGGCACGCCGGUCUUCUGGCGAAAAUAUCAGGAAUUCUGCCACAUUGGGCCACUCGUCUAGUCAAACUAUUACUACGUACGUGGUCGAUGCUUUAGAGUCCACCUGGCCAACCAAACUAGCUCUUGGAGACAUCGGACCAGUGGCCUCUCUUGUAGCAGAAAGCCCCCUUUUCCUCCUGCCUGCAGUUGCUCUCCCCUCCUUGGAUAUGUGUUUCCUCUUCUACCUUUUCUUCCCUCCUCUUUCUUUCACUUUAAGAUAAGGAAUUGUGUUUUAAAAUUUGUGUGUGUCCAUUUUGUAUCUCCCCUUGUACUUUGGUAUUUUUAUCUAUUUGUGUGCCAUGGCAUUACUUUUGUAGCUUAUAUUUUAUACUCCUCACCUUUCAACUAAAUGUGUUUAGUUUCAGAAGGCAGACAAGGUUCCUUGGGUGAAUUUGAUAUCUUUUAUUAGACCAACCCAAUUUAGUUUCAGAAGUAAGUUAUACAUUGUAACCAUGUUAACAAGGGCAGGAGUCAAACUGCUGCUUCCCUGUAUCAGUCGGGCCCCUGAAAGAGUGAGUGAAUCAGUGAUAUAGGCCCCGGUUCUUCAUGGGUGGAUCUAGGAUUUUGAAAAGGGUGGAGGGAGGGCAGAUGGUGUGGCAUAUCAUUACUUCUAACACAACACAUUUUUCUCCAAGUAAAGACAAUCUAGAUGCUUGACUAAUAUGGUAGGGGGGCUAGCAAUGUAUUACUCCGUUUAAGAUCAAAGCAAAAACAAAGAUAACUAUUGGAACACAUGCUACUUAGCUAGAUGAUGUAUAAAGUUUUAGAAAACCACAACAAACUAGGCAAAAAAAUAGUCAAAAGAUAUUGUGUCAUUAGUCCCGUUCCCAUUAUAGUUCAGAUUCAUUAACCAAAAUUGCGCCUUCUUGAGGGCCUUAACAGUGCCUCCAGUGCCACUGUGGGUACGUCUACAUGAGACACUUACUUCACAGUAUCCCAAUAACACUGUGCAGUAGUGUGUCAAUCAAAAACCGUGCUAAUACGUUCCUGCAUGGUGUUAUUAAGCUACUGCACAGUAAGUGUCACAAAAAAACCAACAAACACGCACAGUAACUGUAGAUACUGCACAUUUAGUUAGUACUUCAUUAGGCAAGUACUAAACUAAGUGUGCAGUAACUACUGCGCAUUAAUGAACGUGCAGACGUGCCCUGUCUGUCAUUUCUACACCUGAGUUAAUAUGACCAUACCUGAGUUAAGGUUUUCAGCUAGAGCUAAAAACAGUCUGCCGGGCCGUGAAAUAGAAGAGCGACUUUAGCAGUUAACGGAUAGCAAAAAUUUUGAAGAAAGAAUAGUGUGAACGGUGGAAGACCUUGCAAAAGAAGAGAGGGUUGUUAACCCCGGUGGAGUGGAGAGAGAUUAACAGGAAUCUGGAGACGACAAUGAGCCACAAAGUUGAUUGACUCCCUCAAUGCUGCCUGAAUAGAAAUGUUGCCGCCUCUCCCAAGCAGUUAGUUUUAAAAUUUGGGUGAAGCAGAAAUAAAAGGGGGUGGGGGGUGGGGAUUGCAUCAGUGCAUCCCUCCCACACCGAUCUGGCCCUGUACCAGUGCACCCCCCCACCCCGGAUCUGCCCCAGUUCCCCUGCUAUUAUGGUUUUGGCUUAUGUGCAGGAUCAAGCUCAAAAAUCCCUUUCCUGUUAGGGACCAGCUGGCAGAGAGCUUAUGCCUCUCUAGGGUGAGCAAUAACACCUUGAGUCUGAAUAUCACUAGUGCUGUUCUGACCUGAAGCUGCUGCUGCUGCUGCUGUAUUAUGAUUUGGAAAGGGUGGGGAUAAUGUUCUGAGCAACGAGAUUUAAGAGGAAGGGCCAGUAAUACAGCAUUGGCAUGGAGGAUAAAUCAGCUAGAAGAAGUGCUUUGUUAAUGUCUCCAUUAUUCUGGGCUCAGAUAAAAUCACUGGUUUGUAUUUUCUCCCCCGUCUAAGAAGCUCUGCACCGAGGAACGCGACAUGGCUGCCUGGCUGUUCUUUAAAUACAGCGUGUUCUGUAAUCUCUCUCUACAGGCACAUUCAGUCUACACACAAACUGCUUGCAAGCAGCAGGCAGGAAAAGUGCUAGUUAUUUUUAACAGGCCUCAUUUUCGCUCUCUCUCUCUUCCCUUCCUUCGGCUGUAAAGCAGCCCUUUUUUUGAAAUGUAAAUGUAACAUUUUAAAAAGAGAGGAAAAAAAAUCCCCAUAAAUCUAGUGCUGAUGAAAAGUACCAGAUGGACAGUGUGGGGACCGUGACCCCUAGGUACAGCUCACACAGCAUCUGGACUGAGCUCUCCUCCCUUUCUGACUCCCUUCCCAAACUGAUGAUCCAGAGUGCUUUGUCCUAUGGAGAAAAGAGGAAUGGUUUCUUUCUCUUCCUCUCUCAAGGAAGGUGGCAAAGGGCGCGUCUACAUGAGACGUUUACUGCGGAGCUGCCUAAUUAGGCUGCAUGUGGCCCUAUUAGGCUGCAGGAAGUUAAUUAACUCCAUGGCAGGAUAGUGCUUGUAAAUACGAGUCCUAUUUUGCUGCGGAGUUUUUAACUCCGCAGCACUGCACGUGUAGACACUGAUGCGGCUGGCCGGGGCACGAGAGUGCUGCAGUGUGGGGGCUGCCUGAAGCACCCUCGUGGCCCAGCCAGCCCCUCUGCGGCACACGGAGCCAGGCAGGAGCAGCCCUGGGCUGGCAGGCUGACCCUCCAUGCCCCCUGCCAGCUGGGGCUGCUCCAACCCGGCUCAAAGUGCUGGGAUCCCGGGCGCACGUUCAAGCGGUGUGCCCAGGAGCAAUACACUAUGGAGCAAUAAGCCCCGGAGUUUAUUGCUUUGCACAUACGGACGUGCCCAAAGAGUCUGGGACACAAAAUACCAUUGCCGACUUCAAGGGGUAUUUGGCCUUAGCGAGACAGAUUUCUGAACUGGACUCAGUAGUGGAGCCAGACCUGGCGAGUGGGGAAGGUGGCUUUAAGCCACCUUUCUGGUCCCUUGAAUGCAGCACUGCCCAGCAGCCAGCUGUGCACCAGCCUCAGGGCUGCUCUAAGUUAUUGCAACUACAGCAGCCCCCGCGGGGCCCUUGUUGUGUGCUAGCAUUCGCUAGGGCCAGGCGAUCCCUCCCGGUACGAGAUAGUGAAAUUGGUUUGGGCAGGAUUUGGGGCUUGUAAUUUGACUCAAAAUGGAAGGAAGCUCUGACUGCAGCCUUCAGAUCCACGUUUCCAGCUGUCGUUUGAACGUGCGUGGGGGCGGACGGACUUGGGGUCUUGCCUCGGGCCUGGCUGUGAUGUCUGCAAGUGAGAUUUUUCUGUCAGGGCAGAGCAGAGGCCAAGUGUGGAACGAGAGCAAGGGAAACACUGUGCAAUUUUUCACUCACUCUGAAAUAAAAAUAUCACUUAAGAUAGUUUUGGAAUUAACCAAGAAAAAAAAAGCCUUGAUGGGAACCAGCUGGGGACCGGGGAGGCCUCUUGCCUGCUCCCAUACUGUAAGCACAGACUCCUCCAGGGUGUGUGCCUCGCCGGAUUGCUUUUCUUUUUAUACCUUUGCUGUCCUUAGGAAUCUUAACUAUUCGAGUAGGUUUUCUUUCGGGAUGGGGCUGCCACUAAAAAACACAAGCAGCUUAUUAUGCCUCUAUAGCAUAAUAUUUACUUUCCUCAUUAUAAUAGGCUUGGCCAGCACAGCUUGCCAGCGGUUGCUGGUCUUGCUCACAUAAACACUGGAAGCGU